rnacentral:rRNA from 1 species
UACGUAGGCAGCGAGCGUUGUUCGGAGUUACUGGGCGUAAAGGGUGUGUAGGCGGUUGUUUAAGUUUGGUGUGAAAUCUCCCGGCUCAACUGGGAGGGUGCGCCGAAUACUGAGCGACUAGAGUGCGGGAGAGGAAAGUGGAAUUCCUGGUGUAGCGGUGAAAUGCGUAGAUAUCAGGAGGAACACCGGUGGUGUAGACGGCUUUCUGGACCGUAACUGACGCUGAGACACGAAAGCGUGGGGAGCAAACAGG